AGAGGUGGCUUUUUCUCUGUCUGCUGGAAGUUCACAGUGACUGGCAGGGAGAGAGGAUGCCCCUGGAGGACCAGAUCGAAUCAGAAAAAUGGAUCCACUGUGAAAAUGCACAGAAAACGUGGAGCCUGGCUUACCGUCCUUGGGUCGUCCUGCUCAGCCAGAUGGCUCCCCAGACAAAGAACCCAGUACCCUGGCAAACAAGCAGUGGGAACACAUGCAAAGGGUCAACUGAGUUCCUGAGGAACUGAAAACCAACAAUCUACCCUCGAGGGCCUGAGGUCUGGGCCCGCCCUUCGUUCCUUUCUUCUUUCCUUCUUUCCUUCCUUCCUUCCCUCCUUCCUUCCAACUUGGCAGAGAAGAAUAAACACUGCUGAGACUCUACUUUCAAGGGGAAUUUUAAAGGUAAGAAUCCUCUCUUGGUGAGGGGGGGGAGCAAAAAGAAGAGUGGGAGCAGUUGUAGCUGGGUCAGGAAGGGUUUUCUGGAAGAUGUGAUGCCUGUGGUGCUGGUUCUUGGGAGAUUAGAGGGUUUCCAAUAGCUGGGAAGGAUGAAGGGCAUUCUGGGAGAAGGGGAUUGUGUUAAGAAAGGGCUCAGAGCAUGAAAUAACAUGGCAUGUUAUGACAACCCAGCUGUGGGGCGUGGUGGAUUAUUGGAGAAAUCAAGACCCCAGGGGCCUCAAAGUAUAUUAGAACUAGACUCUUCCUCCAUUUCCACCAUUUCCCAGCUGUGUGACCUUUUGCAAGUUACUUGACCUCUCUGAGUCCUGGUUUUCUUGUUCAUGAAAUGGGGAAACGUAAUGCUUAAUUUGUAAUGUUGUGAAAAGGAAUACAUGGGAUGAUCUUUGAAAAGUAUCUAGCACAGUCAAUAAAUGAUAGCUAGUAUUAUGCUUAUUUUUAUUUUCAGUGCCUAGAGGUUCAGAAUAGAAUCUAAAUCUGGCACUACAAAGCUGCUGCACCUUAAGUGCCAAGUGCCAUUGAUCAGUACCAGCUGCCUGGAGCAGAGAAUUGUGAGGUUAUAAUAUGAGAUCAGCAGGAGGAAGUGCUGUGAUCAAUUAGUGAUGUCUGUACAAGGCAGGGAAUGGGAGUGAGGACAUUUCUGCCAGGUGUUGUGGACCCCAAAAUAAGUGUUGCUUAAGAGCUAGAUGCUGUGAGUAUAGGCGGUGUUUUAGGAGGCUACGAGGGACGAGGGGAGCCUUGAAUCAGCCCCUUAAGGAUAGGAAGGUAUGGCACAGGUAGAGAGAAGGGGGGGCAAACUAACCCAGCUGAAUUUGCAUUUCAUCUUAUUGGCCAUGUAACAUUCUAUUUUGGGGCCCAGCAUCACAAGCCGAAGUGUUAGAAACCCAUCCUUUAUCAACUAGCUACAAAACAUACAUCUGUCCCCUUCCCUGUUGAGGCAGGGGCCACUUGAGUAGAAUCUAAGUGGGGAGGGCAAGAGGUUCGUGCUUCAUUUCCCAAACCCCCAGGUCUCUGGUAAAUUUCCGGAAUGCUAAGCUGUUUAUUUUGGGAGUCUUUAAGCUUAGUCAGUUGGUAUUUAGAGACAGCUAGGAAUUUUGGAUUUCACUCCUAUUCCAAUAGAAAAGAGAAAAACUUAAGUGCCUUCCAAAUACUGGUAAGUCAAAUGAGGACAGCCUGGCUCCAAUCUGCUCUCAUCCCCCACUCCCCGCCCCCUCCCAGAAACACAGAAUGAAAAGGAAACGCAACAUAAUCAAUGCACUAAGCCACAAGUUAAAACUUCCCCUGGAGAAUGCCAGACAGCGAGACUCCCUCCGCAUUAGCUGAUGCAGAAAAGCAUCCGUCAGUGUUUGCGAGACUCAAGGAAGAGGAAAGGCAAACUCGAAUAUCAUAAGGGGGGCUCCUGUGCCCUUCGCGUGGGGCUCUGACACAAGCCUUUAAAAGGCUUCCAUUAGCGGUGUAAUUGAUCUUCUGAUGAAAAGCGAUAAGAAGUCCAGCAAAACGAAAAUGUGAUUACAACGUACAGAAGUGGACACAUACAAGUCCUGGGUUACAAGUUCACGGUCACCACCAUCCAUAAACCAUGCUUAGAUGUAACUUUCAUUAUUUCUUUGUCACAGUCCUUACCUGGUGAGUCCAUUUCUGCCAGGGAUAGAAAGCUUAAUCUUGUACGUUCACAGAGCUCCGUGACUUUCUAAUUUAACUGUGAUCCACUUGGGAUCCGACGUAGGGGUGUCAAGAUUCUCUUCAUCUCCCUCCUUCUCCUCUUCUCCCCGAAGUGGGAGGGCUGAGCUAAUUUCCUGUGGCCUUGCUUUCAUCUAUCACCAAUUGACAGGAGGGCAUUUGGUCCUCGUGGGCCUCCUUGGGGUGUGGCUUGUCCCAUCACAGGUCCUUGGCCUCUAUCCAGAAGCAUCUGUAGUCGGUGGUCUAGUUCCGGCCCACGGUUAUUAAUUCCUUAGACUUCCUCCCCUGCACCCCAGCUGUCAGAUGUCUUCAGGCCCAAGUAAGUACUUCCCAUGCCCUGUUUGCUUUCUCAGCAUCUCCUGCUGGUGAGUGGGGCUUAUGACUCUGUCCCUGGCUCAUGAGCCUGGACAUCUCAGCCAGGGAGGCUGCCCUGUGUGGGGUCUUGGUUGCAGGCAACUGUACCCCUGCUCCAUAACCCUCCAAGCUCACUUGGGUUCCUGUCAUUCCACCCUGAGUCGAUUGCAUCAUUGGCCCCAAGAUUUUCUGCCAAGCUUGAUAUUCAUACUCUUGCAUAUGACUUUGGAAUUUUUUCCAUGCAGGCAAGUCACCCUUUCCCCCAUCUUCCUGCCCUGCUUGACUUUGAGAUCAUCCGUGUGACUUGGUUUGGCCAACAGAAUGAGGCCAAAGUAAUGGUGGGUCAUCUCCAAGUCUAGGCCUUCAUGGGCCCUUCUCUGUUUCCACUUGCCUGUCUUGUGCCUCUGCUGUUACCAAGAAAACAUUUCUUAGUUUUCCCUCUGAUCCAAGAAGGAUGCAUAGAGAAGAACCAUUUCAGAUAAGCCCAGCUUAAAUAAAUUGACCCUUAGUUGACUCUUAGAUCUAAGAACAUAGAAGUCUACCAUAACGGUCAUUAAGAUUUUAUGCUUGUUAUUCAGUAUUUACGUGUCGGGGAGUAACCGAUAUGCUUCCACACUCGGAACUUAGCUUGGGAGGCUGGGAACCUGGGGGCCCUAAGAACUAGUAUUUCUCCCCUUCUUGUCACUCCAUCACUCUUUAUUCUCCUUUCUCAGCGGAAGUGAAAACUUCUUUUGAAGUGCUAUCCCUUUUUCUUCCCCUUUCUGGGCCUUUGUGCCUUCCACGUGCUGUUCUGGCCUUCUCAAGGUGUAGGUCUUAACGGGCAAAGUCAUGUUUAUGGACACCAAAGAGUCAUUUCUUCUCUCUCUCGAAAAUCCUAUCAUUCUCAAUCUGCAGUAUCAGCGAUGUGGUAUGACCCAAACCUAUCCAGAAAGACAAAGGUGAGUGGGCUCGGCCGUCUUUCUUCUGAGGCUGUAUGUAUAUAGACAAGUAUCUGCUUUUCCAAAUAGUCUAAAAUACGGGAGAGACGUGUGAUGAUUGCCUUGAAGGGUGUGCCUGGAGUGUCCCACCGGUUCCAGAGGAGGACGAGAGACACGUAGAGCAGAGCCAAACUAUUCCGGCCAAACCCAGCGCAGAUCAGUGGACCCCAUCCCAUCCUUGCCCCCACUCAGCUGGGAUCAGUGUGCAUGGCCUAGAUCAAAACUGCACAGUCUGGGUUGACUGAGCCAUGCCGACGAGUGAGAGACGAAUGUCCAUUGUCGAAGUCACUGAGGUUCUGUGGUAUUUUAUAGCAGGUAUUUGGGGGCAAUUGUUAACUGAUAGAAACCUCCAACCCCAAAGCAAUAGAAGUGGAGAUUCUCUUAUUGGAGCAGGGGGAGGAGAGACUGGACCCUUAGCUGGGUGACCUCCUCUACUCUCUGUGUCAACACCUGAGGCCCUGUACCGGGAUCAGGAUUCCAUGAAGACAGUUUUAGAACCAUUGCUCUGAUCCACACCAUCUGCCCCGCUCUCUUGUCCUUCCCUUCCUUCCUCCCCCAGUUCACUGUCUGAUUUCUCUUUCUAGCAUGUCUGUCAUAGCUGUGCAACUUGAACACCUCCUAGACAAGGAGCUCCCUCCUUCAAAGAAAGCCAGUCCACCUUUGGACUGCUCUGGCUGUCAGACAAUGAUUCCUCACGUCCUGGGGGAGCUCAGGGCUAUCAUGGCAAAAAUGGGGCAAGAAAAUGGUAGAGAGGAGAUGGUUUCUGGUCUAGCUCCCACCCAAGAUAAAGGAGUCAUAUGAGCCCUCUGAUUCCUCUCUUCUGGGAUAAGUGGGUUAUCCCACAUGCACCUGCUCAUAAAUGGGCCUGUAUUUUCUUAAUAAUCGUGACGUCUCUUUAUUGAGCCGGGAGUAGAGGUCAGGCUCAGUGUUAAGCAUGUCAGAUACAAAGUCUUUGAUUCUUGGAGGUAGGCACUAUUAUCUGUCAGAUUUUGCUAAUGGGGAAACAGAAGCUUGGAGCUGGUGUGUGACCUGCCCACGGGUCUUACAGCUGGCAGAUGAUGAUGGUGAGGCUUGAGCCCAGGUUUGUGGACCCUGAAACUGAUGCUUCUAGGGACCACUUAACAACAGCAACAACAAUAAUCAUAACAGCAUCGUAAAUAGUAAUAACUAAACUUACCAACUCUUUACUUGCUAUGGGUUGAGCCUUGUGGUAAGAGCAUCUGUGGACCAAAUUAACCCUCACAGAAACUCUGCUGGGAAGGUGAUCCUUCCCCAUUUUUAGGGAUCAACAACUUUAGCCCCACUCCGGCCUCAGCAUUUUUAUCUCUUAGAGGGUAUUCAUUUCUUAUUUGAGGUAGUGAGCUCUCUGUCGUAGAAGGCAUUUAAACAGGCACUGGCAGAAUGAUUUUUAGGGACUGUUGUACUAGAAACUGGAUUCUACCGAGUGACCACUAUGGUGUCCCCUUCACCCUGACACUCCUUUUCCUCUCCUCAUUCCCACCCCCGUAUCCCUUCCACAUUCAUGGACCAGGAAAGAAGGAACACCUCCCACUUCCUGGAUUUUCACUAUGAGCCAGACACGAAACUAGAUCUUGUAUCAUUGUCGCCUGACUUAAAGCUCACCACAAGCCCCAGAGGACCCUCUUCCUAUCCUUCUUCGUGCUGGCAGCCAUUGUUGGCUUGACAGCUGUCUUCCCCACUAGACUGACCACCAUGUCAGGGGAGACAGCAACUCUGCUUCUUUUAUUUCUCUCUUUCUCCAGCGCAUGUAGGAAUCCCACACGAGGCCAAUGGCCAGGGACUGGGAGCCAUGCUCACAAAGGCACGACCAUAUUCAAAGGCAGCCAUGUACGUGUGGAUAAGAGGCGGGCUCUGAAGCCAGACUACCUUCGUCCGCAUCCCAGCUCUUCCAUUUGCUAGCUGUGUGGACUUGUGCAAAUGAUUUGCGGCUCUGCGCCUCAAGGUUCCCCAUAUUUGAAAGGGGGAUCACAUUUUUACUGCACUGAGGAAAUUAAGCCUGGUGGUGGAAGUAGGGAUUCUGGAGACGGACUGGUCAGGUUCACGUCCUCACUCUGCCCCUGACUCCUAGGGCAUCUGAGGCAAAGCAUGUGUGUCUCCAUUUCUCUCCUGGAACGUAGACGGGGCUGCUAUCACCUCCUAUCCCACAGCUGUGGGAGGGGCUAAAUGAGCCAAUCGCUGUAAAGCACUCAGAGCAGGUGGUGACACUGAGUAGAAUGGCCGACUCAAGGUCACCCAGCUAGUGAGUGAGAGAGCCAAGUUCACCUCCGAGUUCAUUGCAGCUUGGGUUACCCCCAAGUUUUGCAAAGCGUUUUUUUCAAGUUGCUGGUGUGUAACACCUCGAAGACAGCAGGCUUCCCUCACACCGUUUCUCCAGUCGAAUCCGGACGUACUCGAAACAUUUUCUACAUCGGUAGAGACGAGUGUAUUUUCCACCAAGGGAGGGAGCGGGGCCUCUUCUAGGAGGGAAUGAAAAGAGUCAUCAAAAAACAGAGACCAGCCAAGGAAGAUGCAAAAAUAAUUAAAAUAGGAAACGUGCUGCUGUCUUCACAGGAUUUCAAUUUUGCAGUUGCCGGAGGGGAGGGGUGGCAGACGUUCACUUUCUCACACUGAUACACAUUUUGAUAAAGUGUGAUAAAGACUUAGGAAAAUUGACAGAUCAAAUGGGACUCUCAGUUGAGGGCGUUUGCAUCUUGUAAGUGAGGAAAAGCAGCCAGGGGUGCGUGGACACCUACGUGACAAGGUGCUGCUCCUUCCUGCUCUUGUGAAUGAGGUCCCGGGUUGUCCACGCAGCCCUUCUCCUGCUCAUUCUCACACAUCGCUCCGUCUCGGCUUGGACCCCGCGUCCUCAGGGAAGUCCAGAUGGGGCACCUGGUUACAUGCCCUCUGUGGUCACUGCUCCUUCACGGCACUUGGCGUUGUUGUAACCACUGGGCACGCUUACGCUCACUGGAGGUUAUCUGAAUUCUAUCUGGAACCUGCGGGAGACUGUUGGCAUCUAGAGGACAGAGGAUGGGUUUCUUUACAUUACUGCCUAUUGCCAGAGACAGGCGCAGUACCUGGGCAUAGUGGGAGCUCAACACACCCCGCAGGAAGGAAGGAACAGAGGAAGGAAGGACACAGACGUGCGAUUCGAACCAGCAGGGCAAACGGGGCUUCCUGUUGAGAGGGCAUUUACUCCAUCGUGUUCUCUUCCGCACGUCGAUUGAACCUGAGCCCCCAAGUCCCACUGAAAAACACUCAGCCAAUGGAGUUUGGUGAAAGAGACCUCUUUCCCAUUGCCUGGGAGAACCAGUGUAGGCGUCCUCGUGUCGUGGUGGGCGGGGGUGCAGUGUGAUCUUGUCAUGGGAUUGGCGUGGGAGCUGCUGGCAGGCCUGACAGUGCUAUCUUAAUCCCAUUGCGCUGUCUCAGAAAGGGGUGUGCAGGCCCCCCCGCGCCAUGCAGCAAAGCAGCUGGGGUGCUUUGGGUCCCACAGCAAGGCUCUUCCAGCUCUGGACCUGGGUCUGAUUUAGGGACGGAGAUCUGGAGUCUGGAGGGGAUGAGUGCCAUCCUGGGGUCAGGCGAUAAAUCUCUAGUUUGCCAGAGCUAGGACUUGAACCCCCGUCUCCUGGUCCCUGGUCCAGUGUUCCUCUCAGCCACCAUUCAUCCAUCCAUCCAUCCAUCCAUCCACCCAUCCAUUUAUUUAAUCGCUGUGUAUGGUUGGUCCUCUACUGGGUACCAGGCACUUGCUGUGAAAGAACCAGGACCAAGACCAGCACACACCUAUGGCCACUCAUCUUUAUUUUUAUUCCUUUAGUUGGUCUUUUUCAUGUUCCGUGGAGGACUCUUAGCUUAUCCAGACCUUUCUGAUUCCCUAUGUCACGUGCACAGUUGGACAAGUUGGCAGAGGUUGGCUGAGGUUCGCCCCAUGUCCUUACCUGUCAGGACCUUAAUAAAGUCCUUUGUCCACUCUGUGGCUCUCCUUCCCUCUCCGAGUGCUGGGAGGAGGCACCUGCAGGGACCCCAGGGCACCUGUCUCAGGUGGAGGGAGCAUAGCAUCCCUUGCAGUAAGUAAUUAGCUCCCUGACUCAAAUCGGGCAUUUUCAAAGGCGCCAAGGGCUGAGGCCAGAGGACAAGCUGGGUGUUGACAUCUUGGCCUGCCGCAUCGUGUGUCCCACCCACACAUUUAUGGAGCAACUGCUGUAUGCCAGAUCUGGGUUGUGUGGUCAGGGAUGCAAUCAUUAGAAGCAACCAGACUAUGGGAAGACACUGGAGGUGACUUUAUACAGUUUUCCAUCAGUUUAGAGACUCAGAAGGUGGCAUUUUUGGAGUCAGCUGGGCGUGGUUCUAAAACCCAGUUCUUCUAAUGAAAAUGUAUGUUUCACUUACUCUGUGAAUCCCAGCUUCCUGUUCUAUAAAAUAAUGGGAUAAUAGUAAACUCCUGGGUGCUUGUGAGAGAUCACAUGGGGCGAUGUCCAUGAAGCACCUGGAACGUGAUAGGGCCGUGUCAGCAUUGAUUUCCUUCCCCGAUGCUCCUAGGGUGUGUGCCCAUUUCAUUGCCUGCAAACUGAACCAGGCGUCUCCUCAGGAAGAAGGCCAGCUCCUCAAGGGCAGUCCUGCUGACUGUGUGACCUUGGACAUGUCACCUGGAAACCGAGUGUAAUGAAGGCUCCUUCUCAGUGUUACUAGGAGGCAGCUGGGACUAGGGCGGGAUGAGUGAGGUGUCUAGGGCCCCAAAGGUAAGGAGGUGGUGGCUGUCAGGGUCACAUCGCAAGGGUGGCAUUUGCCCUGACCGUGACCACCAAAUCCAUUCGCUGAUGCAAAGUGGAGCGCCCAGAGCCAGUCACAAAGUGGGCACUGGUUUUGUCUGGGGUUAUUUGCUGGAAAAAGACAGAGGUCCACUCAAACUAUUUCAAAAAGGAGUUAUUUUAGGGACACAUGUGGAGUUAAACAGGGAACAAAGUCUCGUGGAAAUCAUCAAAGAGCCCAGACUCAAGAAUGAGGCCGUGUCCCAAGGAUCCUGUCGUGGGAGGGUGGUUCUGGACACACGGAAGCCCUGUAGUAGAUUUCAGGGCCCCCUUCGUGCAGACCUCAAGGUCCCACUUGUCCCUCCCCUGCCUGCUUCUCCAGCCUCCAUUCGGACCCUUGUGCCUAAUGAGCUCUGCUCCUGCCCACGGCCUCCCGUGAGCCUCUUGAGUGCCCAGGUGUCUCUUGCCUCCCUGUCUCCCUGCAUGUGUUCCUCUGCCUGGACACUCUCAUCUCUUCUUGUCACCAGGGAGGCCUCUGCUCAUUUUUUGGGCUCUGGCUUCAUAGCUGCUUCAUCUAAGACGCCUUCGCUGGUCCCUAUACG